rnacentral:rRNA from 1 species
AUUGAACGCUGGCGGCAGGCCUAACACAUGCAAGUCGAACGGUAACAGGAAGAAGCUUGCUUCUUUGCUGACGAGUGGCGGACGGGUGAGUAAUGUCUGGGAAACUGCCUGAUGGAGGGGGAUAACUACUGGAAGCGGUAGCUAAUACCGCAUAACGUCGCAAGACCAAAGAGGGGGACCUUCGGGCCUCUUGCCAUCGGAUGUGCCCAGAUGGGAUUAGCUAGUAGGUGGGGUAACGGCUCACCUAGGCGACGAUCCCUAGCUGGUCUGAGAGGAUGACCAGCGACACUGGAACUGAGACACGGUCCAGACUCCUACGGGAGGCAGCAGUGGGGAAUAUUGCACAAUGGGCGCAAGCCUGAUGCAGCCAUGCCGCGUGUAUGAAGAAGGCCUUCGGGUUGUAAAGUACUUUUAGCGGGGAGGAAGGGAGUAAAGUUAAUACCUUUGCUCAUUGACGUUACCCGCAGAAGAAGCACCGGCUAACUCCGUG